GCUGAGUGAUGUUAAAAUCUUCGGGUUUUGUUUAAUUAAAUGUAUUUUAUUUCAUCUGGGUGCUUGUGUCACCUACUAACACCCUGGUACUACCCGUAGCUCCGGUUCUCCUCAGUCCGAGAAAACACUGAGAAAGGCUCCUGUGUAGAACAACUUGUCAGAUGGUGCAUUGGAGACUGAUGUGUUCCUGUCCUGUCUUUUCACAAUACUAUUGCAGGUGUUCAGACGUUCCUGAGUACUGGACAGACCAUAUUUUCCAGAAUACAUUAACAAGGAACAAUGCCAAGGAGUUUGGAGGAGCAUCGCAGAUCUACCUGUCUGUCUCUUUCUUCCUCACCUGUCUCACUGCCUCCACGCUGGUCUUCCGAUGACAGACAGCUACCUAGCCUGAACCCCGCCCCCCUCUGAUUCGUAAUCUCCCUGGAAUGUUCCAGAAUGCCUGAACUUAGCAUGCCUGCUGCAUUAUCUUUAUUAAAUUUUUAUGACUAUAUGACUUAAGUUAUGAUAUUGUUCAUUUUGGCUGAUGGACUGAGAGCUGUUGACUGACUCCAUGCUUGAUGACUUUACAAUCACAGAGAGCUGUUGACUGACUCCAUGCUUGAUAACUUUACAAUCACAGAGAGCUGUUGACUGACUCCAUGCUUGAUAACUUUACAAUCACAGAGAGCUGUUGACUGACUCCAUGCUUGUUGACUUUACAAUCACAGAGAGCUGUUGACUGACUCCAUGCUUGUUGACUUUACAAUCACAGAGAGCUGUUCACUGACUCCAUGCUUGAUAACUUUACAACCACAGAGAGCUGUUGACUGACUCCAUGCUUGAUAACUACAAUCACAGAGAGCUGUUGACUGACUCCAUGCUUGAUAACUUUACAACCACAGAGAGCUGUUGACUGACUCCAUGGUUGUUGACUUUACAAUCACAGAGAGCUGUUGACUUCAGAUGCUCGAUGACUUUCAAACACAACCACCAAAGUUGUGCUUCUUUUGACAACCGUUCUAAAACCAUGAAAGGGCUUUUUGGUUUCUUCUUCUUUAGUGUCUAAUAAGAGAACAUUGGUUGAAGGAACAACGUUACAAUGUGAUGGACUACUAGGUGAAACAGCCACUCAAAACUCCAAAGAUAGUAUUUUCUUCAAGGCUUUGUUUUUAUUUCUGUAAUGCUUCAGGGAAAUGUAAAGACAAGGUCCUGGACAGUAACAGGAUUAUAGUCUUUCUGUCUGAGACACUGUCAUCAUAGAGAUCUAGUCGUUUAUUUAGAUUAGGGUUGGGGUCAAUUCCUUUACAAUUCAGGAAGUAAACUGAAGUACAAUUCCAAUUUUCCUCAAUGCCUCUCUAUGAGAAAAUGAAAAUGAAUGAAUGUAUUGACAUUGAAUUGACCCCAACACUGAUCUAGAGAUAAGAUAGUGACUGUAGACCUCUUGGGGGGGUAGAGUUGAGGUGUGGGUGGUGGAGGACAGCCCAGUCUGGUGUAUCAGAGAUGAGGGGAGAGCCCAGUCUGAUCACUGGAGGUUCUCUUGCUACAGAGAUGGUCUAUAGAAUCCUUUUAGUAGCUGACAUUCCUAACCUCAACUGAGAGGGUCUCUGUCCCUCUGAUGGCCCUGUUGGUGUCCACUCUGUCUCUCUGUGUGUGUCCUGUUCUUCGCUGUCAGGGACAAAGGGGGGUUGUUGAGGAAAUUGGGGGGGGGUGGGGUUAGUAGUCUUUUGGCAGCAUUACCCUGCGGCCCCCCAUGAAAUGACAUAAGGUGAUCUUCCUUCUGAAGGGAAUGUUGUCCAGGGCCUCCACUGCCACCCUCUUGUUGCCCCUGACGCUGCUCUCCUCCUGGUCGUACAUGGGGCACAUGUAGGCGGUUCGCCUCAGGGCGUAGAUGUCCACCUCGUCCUCGUCGUCCCACGGCUGGUAGGGCUGCUGGGAUGUAACGGCCGACUUGACCAGACGGGGCCUCAUCAUGGCCAGCUCUAGGUCACGGGGGAUAUGCCUCAGGCCCAGGCUAGACCUCUGGACUCUGACUCCUUUAAAUUACAUUACAUCAGGUUACAUUCAUUUAUUAGUCAUUCAUUUAUGAAUGGUUAAAAACAGGACAUUCAUCUUCCUGGUCGUACAUCAGCAUAAACAUACAUUAUACAACAUUGACAAUAUAUUCAAUAGAUAAAAUGUGUCAUUGCACAAAGAGAAGUGCUAACCUUUCUUUCUCUUCUUGGUCCUUUCAUCCCAGGCGUUGGCACUGACAAGGGACACGUUUCCCUGGCCCAGGGAGGGCAGAAGUUUGGGCCGGGGGGCCACCGGGGGUUUGGGGACCUUUGGAGGAGGAGCAUCCCUCUGGGCUCUCCUGGCCAGCAGGGGUCCUGUCUGGGCGAAGGCCUCAGGCCUGAUGAUGUCUCUGGGUGGGAUGCUGGUCCCUCUGGCAGCCUCCUCUGGCUGAGCAGCUUUCGGCAUGGAGAGAACAAACACAUUGUUGCUGAAGCUGCAUGAAUCUGAAAGGGCCAGCUCUUCCAGGGUCACAGGGCAGGUAGGACGGGACUCAGGCUGGACCAGGUCCACAGUGCUGGUAGUGAUGCUCACAGAACUGGUAGGUUGGGACUCAAGAAUAACGGGACACACAGGAUUACUGGGCUUCACUUUUCUCCUAGUGGUGCGUCGAGGGUUGCUAGGCCUCCCCUCAGGUCUGGAAGGCUGUAAGUCAGGCUGGACCAGGCCAACGGGUCUAACAGGCCGUCUAGUGGGGCGUCGAGGGUUGCUUGGCUUCUCCUCAGGUCUUGAUGGCUGUACUUCAGGUUGGACAAGGCCAACUGGUCUAACAGGCCGUCUAGUGGGGUGUCGAGGGUUGCUAGGCCUCCCAUCAGGUCUAGUGAUGCUGACAGGGAUUCUAGGUGUCAUCUCAUUCUGGUGCAGGCUCUCUGGGCUGCUGGGCCGGGAGUCAGGAAGAAGCUUGUAGUUCUUCAGAACCUCAGUGAAGGAGAGCUCCUUGUUGCGCCUGCGUCUGUUGGUUUUGGCAGGCAGCUGGGAGCUGCUGCUGUUAAACCAACCGGGAGACUCACGACAUCCAUCCUGGACAGGAACUAGGGACUGGAGGUCUCUCCUCUUUCUGUGGUCAGCUGUGGGCCUCUUGGGACAGAUUUCAUCAGGAGGGGGAGCCCGAGGUACAACAUGUAGGGAGGGGAACGCUGAGGGCCUGAAAGAGGAGGCCAUCACUGGGGCCUGGCUGACCCCUUCUCUCUCCAGCAGCACUCUGUUAGAAGGACAGAGUAGCGGAACACCGGUGGACCUUGGUCCUCUAGACCCAUUCAGGUUGGGCCUCCUAUUCAUCAUUCACUGGUCUGCAGUAUUCUAAUCAGAAUGCUCCUUCUAGUCUUGAAUACUUGGAAUAGGAAGUGGCUUUCAGCACAAUUAAAUUCUAUAAAAAGAGCCACAGAAACAUCUUUGUUUAGUAUUUGGGGAAAUUCUAAAAAUGUUUUACUGUUUCUUUCUAAUUUCAUCAAAGUCAGUUCUGAGUUGAAAUAUUUAUUUGUGACAAGAUAUAUCCAUUAAAAUGUAACAGCUUUGUUCAAUUAUUCAUGCCUAAUAGCCUAGAUGUAACUGGCCUCAAUAAAACUGUCUAUCUCCUCAUUUAUCCAAUAAACAGUUGGACAGGCGUA